GGGGACCUUCGGGGCCCUAUACAACCGGCCACCUUCGGGGGGCUUAUCACAUAGGUCUUCGCGCCCGGAGGGGCAGGGGAUCGCUAGCUAAACGGAAGACAGAAA
rfam:Oceanicola batsensis HTCC2597 scf_1099451005761 genomic scaffold, whole genome shotgun sequence.